GCUCUGUUCGUAUAAUGUUUUAGUACACCUCACUUUCUAUGAGGAAACUAGGAGUUCGAUUCUCCUACAGAGUACAA
rnacentral:tRNA from 1 species